UGAAGAUGUGGUACAAACCGUUCGUAA
rnacentral:piRNA from 1 species